rnacentral:rRNA from 1 species
UACCAGAGGCACUGCCUGCCCAGUGACAUAUGUUCAACGGCCGCGGUACCCUGACCGUGCAAAGGUAGCAUAAUCAUUUGUUCUCUAACUAAGGACCUGUAUGAACGGCCACACGAGGAUUCCACUGUCUCCUAUUUCCAAUCAGUGAAAUUGACCUUCCCGUGAAGAGGCGGGAAUAAUACUAUAAGACGAGAAGACCCUGUGGAGCUUAAAUUAAUCAGCCCAGUUAAUAACCACUAAACACCAAUAGGAAUAAACACACAUAACAUGAGCUGCCAAUUUUGGUUGGGGUGACCUCGGAGCAAAACAAACCCUCCGAAUGAUAAGUACUAAGACCUACAAGUCAAAGUCCACAGUAUCACUUAUUGACCCAAAAUAUUGAUCAACGAAACCAGUUACCCCAGGGAUAACAGCGCAAUCCUAUUCAAGAGCCCAUAUCGACAAUAGGGUUACGAACCUCGAUGUUGGAUCAGGACAU